UGGGGAAUAUUGCACAAUGGGGGAAACCCUGAUGCAGCGACGCCGCGUGAGCGAAGAAGGCUUUCGAGUCGUAAAGCUCUGUCCUAUGAGAAGAUAAUGACGGUAUCAUAGGAGGAAGCCCUGGCUAAAUACGUGCCAGCAGCCGCGGUAAUACGUAUGGGGCGAGCGUUGUCCGGAAUUAUUGGGCGUAAAGGGUACGUAGGCGGUUUUUUAAGUCAGGUGUCAAAGCGUGGAGCUUAACUCCAUUAAGCACUUGAAACUGAAAGACUUGAGUGAAGGAGAGGAAAGUGGAAUUCCUAGUGUAGCGGUGAAAUGCGUAGAUAUUAGGAAGAAUACCGGUGGCGAAGGCGACUUGCUGGACACAAACUGACGCUGAGGAACGAAAGCGUGGGUAGCAAACAGG
rnacentral:rRNA from 1 species